rnacentral:rRNA from 1 species
CGAGACGUUAAGUACGGUAAUUACGUGGGACGUAAAGCGCAUGCAGGCGGCCUAGUUAAGUCAGAUGUAGAAACGGCCCGGGGACUUUAACCGUACGGUAAGUUGCUAUUUAGUAAACGUGGCGAGGCUAGAGUCUUGUAGAGGGGGGUAGGAAUUUCAGGUGUAGCGGUGAAAUGCGUAGAGAUCUGAAGGAAUACCAGUGGCGAAGGCGGCCCCCUGGACAAAGACUGACGCUCAGAUGCGAAAGCGUGGGGAGCAAACAGGAUUAGAUACCCUGGUAG